AUGCUAAUCUUCUGCAGGUGGUUCCCGAAAGAUGGCAGCAUGUUCUUCCAUGAGCCAAACGACGGUCGUGAGCUCGCCGCCACAGCUGAUCUGUUUGGCAUGGGCGUCUCUGCUGCAUCGGACAGACACGAAGAUGAGCAGACGCACCCACGUAUCCAAGAUGAGCGCCAACGCUCUGGGCAUAUCGAACACACCAAUAUUUCUGCACCAGUAUUCCAGGUCUGGCAUCAGAAGCUUCAGUUUCUCCAUGGCAGCACCAUCAUGACGUUCAUAACAGGAUAUGAUGUCAGACUUGUCAGGCUUGCUUAUGUCUACCAGUUCUAG
rnacentral:rRNA from 1 species